rnacentral:rRNA from 1 species
AUUGAACGCUGGCGGCAGGCCUAACACAUGCAAGUCGAGCGCGCGUCGGGCGGGUGAGUAAUGUCUGGGAACAAGCCUGCUGUAGGGGGGUAACUACUGGAGACGGUAGCUAAUAACGCAUAGCCUCCGAUGUUCCCAGAUGGCAUUAGCUAGUAGGUGGGGGAACGGCUCACCUAGGCGACGAUCCCUAGCUGGUCUGAGAGGAUGACCAGCCACACUGGAACUGAGACACGGUCCAGACUCCUACGGGAGGCAGCAGUGGGGAAUAUUGCACAAUGGGCGCAAGCCUGAUGCAGCCAUGCCGCGUGUCUGAAGAAGGCCUUCGGGUUGUAAAGGACUUUUGUCAGGGAAGCGGUACCUGAAGAAUAAGCACCGGCUAACUACGUGCCAGCAGCCGCGGUAAUUC